GACGUAGGGCGCGAGCGUUGUCCGGAUUUAUUGGGCGUAAAGAGCUCGUAGGCGGCUUGUCGCGUCGUCCGUGAAAACUUGGGGCUCAACCCCAAGCUUGCGGUCGAUACGGGCAGGCUAGAGUUCGGUAGGGGAGACUGGAAUUCCUGGUGUAGCGGUGAAAUGCGCAGAUACCAGGAGGAACACCGGUGGCGAAGGCGGGUCUCUGGGCCGAUACUGACGCUGAGGAGCGAAAGCGUGGGGAGCGAACAGG
rnacentral:rRNA from 1 species